CGAGAGCAGUAGCACAAGAGUGUAUCCAGGCAGUGGCUGUUCUUCAGCGUCUCCUCUCUUCAGAGGUUGUGCUGCAUUGCACUGCAAGGCACAAUUCAGAUAGGUACCUAUCGCCCCCGAGACUCAGCAGCAAGCUCAGAGCACUGGGCCUGGACACAAGCUGUGAGGCCUGCAACUUAACCUCAUCCUCCCUGACACUUAACACUGGGGUCGCCAAGGGGUGAGUCCUGUGCCCUCUGUUACUCCAUGUCAUUCCAUCUCUCCAUGUCGCUACAUUUUAUUCCAUCUCUCCAUGUCGCUACAUUUCAUUCCAUCUUUCCAUGUUACAACCUGUCAUUCCAUCUCUCCAUGUCGCUACAUUUCAUUCCAUGUCUCCAUGUUACUACCUGUCAUUCCAUCUCUCCACGUCGCUACAUUUCAUUCCAUCUCAACAUGUCAUUCCAUCUCUCCAUGUCGCUACAUUUCAUUCCAUGUCUCCAUGUUACUACCUGUCAUUCCAUCUCUCCACGUCGCUACAUUUCAUUCCAUCUCAACAUGUCAUUCCAUCUCUCCAUGCCUGGAUGCCUACCUAAACAUUUCCCUUUGUGGAGUCUGGGAGGGCAUGGACAUACCCAUUUGCUGAGGCAUAUUCUAUUCUAACAUUGUCAACCAGGUUGUCAUAAAGGAUCUGCCAAUCAGGUCCGACCCAGUUGACGGUGUCCUCAGGAAAGAUGGAAUUGAUGGACCCACUCAACUGACCACAUUAAAAAAGCUGAUGCCUUCAACACCGAUUUCCAUAGUAAAAUAGCCUUUAGGCUACCAGAGGUCUGUUACCAUCUAUGUAGGGGAUGCUGAUCUUACAUCUUAUAUCUCCCUCUGGUGGCCACAAGAGGAACUCUCAACACGCAGUGACCUCUGCCACUGCAGAAAUGUUUGGUUCUGCUCCAGGAUGGAUUUACCUCAGGUAGGGACUAGGAUGUCACUUGAGCACUUCACCUGGGUCACAGAGUGGACGUCAUUAUUUGACGUUCAGGACAGUAUGUUGAAGGAAUGUUGUCUUGUUUGCUGGCUCUGUUCUGGUUAUGAUCACGUGGAACACCGUUGCCCCUGGUUUUAAGGCAUCCUCAGCAGUGGUCUGUGGUCUGUGGUGUGGGUUUCCGAACUGAUAACACCACAAUGCCAUCGAAUACGAGCCUGUGUAGCUCAGUUGGUUGAGUAUGUGAUGUUGGCAACGUGUUGAGGGUUUGAUUUCCACGACUAAAGAGUAUGAAAAUGUGUGAACGCACUGCUGCCACUUGCUCCAGAUAAUAAGUAUAUACACCUUAUUGGAGAACCUCUUUUGAUCAUUUUGCCUUGCCUUACAAAUUUAGUUUUUUUUUGCUUAUAUCCAUCAAUAUCUAAAUAUUUUUCUUUAUCAAUCUAGGGUAUCUACUUGUUUAGCUACAUGUCCAUCUAUCUUCUUGAUCUGGACAAAGGACACAUGCCAGCACAAGAUAUAAACGGGGCAUGUGUGGUUUUGUGAGAGAGGUCGUAACUGAGGAUGAAUAGAAAGCUAAUUAUACGAGAGGCAAUAGCCUUUAAGCCAGGAUAUUCAGCUAACUACUGAAUAUAUUAUGGAUCUCUUUUGGCUCACUAUCUCUUCAUCUCUCUCUCGCUCUCUUUUUCAAUAAAUCUCUCAGUUUUUUCACCCAAUCUAACUCUCUCUCUUUCUCAAUUAAUCUCCCUAUUUUUUUCUCCCCAUCUAUCUUCCUCUCCUGCCCUCAUUCUCUCCAUCCAGUUCGCUCUCUAUCUUUCUCUCAAGACAUCUCCCUCUUUCUGUCUCUCUCUUUCUAUUCAUCUCCUCUCUAACUGCAGAGACCAACAACUGCAUGAAUAUAAAAGACGUUUUGGGAUGGAAAGCCGACAAAGCAAAUUUUGUCUAAUGUGAAACAGAGUGAAAGGGCUCACAACAAUUAGCCCUGCUUUCUUAAUGAGUGGUUAAGCCCUGUAUGAAUUCCUCUGUGUUUACUAUUACACGGAGGCAGCAUGAAUACAACCUGGUACAAUGUCAUACAUGGAGGAAAAGGAGAAGGAGAACAAGACGUAACCCUUUCUUACCUUCUCUUGUGUGUCAGUUCAUUCCUUUCAAUUAUUUCUCUAUUACUGGCCAGCAAACCUAAUGAUGGCCCUCCGAUUUGAGGGACAAAAUUCAUUUCCUCAGUCAUUAGACUACGGAUGUGUGUGUGUGUGUGUGUGUGUGUGUGUCCAUCAUAACUCUGCUUGUGUUUCAGCCAUUCCUAGUUACCAUGACAACAGCAGGACCAGUGACAUCACUGCAUUACCGUGACAUCGUCACCCCCAACCGUGAAUCAUGCUCUCUGGGUCAGGUUGGCGUGUGUGUCUGUGUGUGCUUUACUACACCUUAAGGGCUCAUAACCCGUGGCAAGUCAGGAAAAGAAAUAACUUUUUGCUGAUACUCAACUGUAAUAAAUUGGAGUUAGGAUUAAAGUUCUAUCACAUUGAGGGUUACGGUCAGAAUUAGAGUUUAUGUGUGUUUGUGUGUGUGUGUGUGUGUUAGUCUCUACCUAAUCCCUUUUGCACAACUAUAAGCAGCGCUUGACUUGGGCUAAAAUGAGUACAGGAAUUGCCAAAUCGCCUUUCCGGCCCAAGUCAAGCACUGAUUUAUAAGGACAACAAAUACGCCAAAACCUUGUUAACAUCCAAGUGUUUUAUUCUAAGUAACAAAAAUAAUUACAUUGUUCUUUGUUCUAAGAGCAGUACAGUCUUGAAAAUAAACCAGAACAAAAUUCAUAAACGAGACACACAUACAUUCACAUUAAUUAACAGCACAGAAAUUUUCAAGAGCAGUCGAAUUUCAAGAGCAGACUUGUAUUAUAUUGCACAACUGAGCAAAAGUGCUUCCCCUGUCACAGAAUAUAAUAUAUAUAUAUAUGAAUGUAUUAUCUAUAUAUAAUUUCUGAAUUUCUGUAUGGGUUCUUUGUAAUUGUCUGUCCAAAUACGAAUGUGGUGUUUUAUAUUUUAACAAGUGUGACUGAGCCAGAUUUAAAAAAAUCAUAAUUAUAAUAAUUUUUUGUCUUUGGCACAUUAAACUUCCAGAUAAUUUCUGUAGUCAAUAACUGAUUCAUCAUUUUGGACUAAUGUUGGCAACCAGGAAACAACCACAAAGGAAGAAAGCAAUACAAAAUUUGACCUCACUUAGUAAUAUUCAACAAACAGCUACAAACAGGAAGCAACAGUAACCAAUGUGGAACUCUCAGUUCAUGGACUUCAUUGUGACAUCUUCAUUCCCCGUCUCAAUCCCAAAUGGGACCCUAUUCCCUUAGCGAUGCCCUGCUGUCUACUAGAGCCCUGUGACCCAUUGUCAAAGUGUUUGCAGUAGAUAGGGAAUAGGGUGGCAGUUGGGAUGAAACCCUUGUGUAUCUGAGAGGUUAUUAGAAUAUAUCAUGCAGUUUAUUGACUGGCCAAAGUGAGGCGCUGUGAUUCAAGUAUUCACAGUACAGAGCUUGCUGUUGUUAGUAAGUCAACUGCAUCUCUAUGAAGUUUGUUCUAGGUAGACAUCCAGGAUCAAGUUCACCUCCCUAAAUACUAAUGUUAAAGGAUUAUUAAUGGAUUUUGGAGAUAUACGCCUUUUAUUUAGUCAGAUGAACUAGUGGAUACAAUGUUUAUGCAUUUAACACGGUAUUUUCCGCAGGAAAAUGCUAACUAGCGCCAGCACAGAUAAUGGACAGCAUGUGUGUAGAUGUCCGGUCAAGUGUGUAGAUGUCCGGUCAAGUGUGUAGAUGUCCGGGCAAGUGUGUAGAUGUCCGGGCAAGUGUGUAGAUGUCCGACCAAGUGUGUCGAUGUCCGGUCAAGUGUGUAGAUGUCAGGUCAAGUGUGUAGAUGUCCGGUCAAAUGUGCAGACAUCCGGUCAAGUGUGUAGACGUUUGGUCAAGUGUGUAGAUGUCCAGUCAAGUGUGUAGACCUCCGGUCAAGGUUGCAGACGUCCGGUCAAGGUUGCAGACGUCCGGUCAAGGUUGCAGACAUCCGGUCAAGUGUGCAGACAUCCGGUCAAGUGUGUAGACAAUCGGUCAAGUGUGUAGACGUUCGGUCAAGUGUGUAGAUGUCCUGUCAAGUGUGUAGAUGUCCGGUCAUUGCACAAACGCUAGCAACGUCGUGCAAGCUGCGCACAGAUCCAUAAACGUGGUGUCAACGAGUUCAUCUGACUCUGGCCAUGGGCUUUUUUGACACAGUUCUAAACUAACCCUUUAUUAACACUUAGUGGAGACAAUUCUAAAUCUGGUGUCUAACUAGAGUUUCAAUGGCUAACUAAAUCAAACAAAGCAGAACACUUCUCAGACCAGAGAGGUCAGGCCAGGCCAGACCAGGCCGGACCAGACC